rnacentral:tRNA from 1 species
GUCUCCGUAGCUUAAAAACCAAAGCAUAGCACUGAAGAUGCUAAGAUGGCCCACCCGCCGACCCGAAGACA